rnacentral:lncRNA from 1 species
GGACCUGGGGCUUCCUCCCAACCCAUCCCUGGCCUCCGGCCCGGGACCAAAACCGCUUGAGGCUGCAGACCGAGAGUCCUCACCUUAUCUUCAUUGCUUUCAGAGUUGCUGAGAGAACCAGUAGGAGUGAAAGAACCGAUUCCUUAGAAAGAAGGCCGAGAAGCAAAAGACUGACCAGUGGUUGGACUCUUGCCGGUGCUUACCCUGAACCUGAGUGUUAGGGGAGAGGGAAUCUGCCGCUGCGGUUUCUGGAGCUGCGCAUAAGCAAGAGUUUCCUAUCCUGAUCAAGGCUUUAAGCCUAAAAGAAAGCAGAAAUAGGUCAAGGGCAGCCCAAGUGCCCAAUUUCUCUCUCUCUUCACAAAGCACCGCCG